AUCUGAUGAGGUGAUUGAGGUGGUUGAGGAGCACAAGGGAACGACGGCUCCCCCCGUUCCGUUCCGUUCCGUUCCGUUCCCGACGACUCCUGUGAGAGGCGUGGGCGAAGCCAUGGCCUCCGCCACCGGCUCCGGCUCCGGCCAGCAGCAAUUCCCUAGCACAGCAGCAGCAGCAGAUGCUGACCCGGGAGCUGGGGCCGACAAGCUCGUGUUCGAGGCGGCGUCGCAGCCCAUGAGGGAGGACUACGUCGAGAACGCCGUCAAGUUCCUCUCCCACCCCAAGGUCAGGGGCUCCCCCGUCGUCUACAGGCGGUCCUUCCUCGAGAAGAAGGGCCUCACCACCCAGGAGAUCGACGAGGCCUUCCGAAGAGUCCCUGAUCCGCAACCAAGUGCCACUACUGCUACAGCUUCACAACCACAGCAGCAGGCAAACAUCCAGAAUCAAUCCACCGGAGUCCAAACUUACACACCACUGCAGUCUCUGCAGCCAGGAACUGCUGGCCCUGUAGUCCUUCGUACGCAGCCCAGGUUCAGCUGGUACCGAGCAUUCCUUGCUGCAGGGCUGUUGCUUGGUUUUGGUGCCAGUGCUGCUGUCUUUAUCAAGAAACUGUUCCUUCCCAGGCUCAAGUCUUGGAUACGCAAAGUUGUAGCAGAAGGCGAUGAAACUCAAGGCAACCAACUUAAGGCCAAGAUUGAUGAGGAAACGGCAGAGGCUGUAAAGGCUUCUGCGUCUGCUGUUUCUGCUAUUGCUAAAACGAACCAACAACUGCUUGCUUCAAAGGAUGAAGAAAAGAAGAUACUUGUGACAUUAACACAAGCUCUAGAUUCCCAAGCCAAGGAGUUGAAAUCUUUGAGUGAGUCGCUCAAUCAUAGCAGGGAGUCGAUAAACAUUACCAGGGAGGAUAGAUUUUCUCAGUACCGUCCACUUGAAGAGCAUGCCCCUUCUGUUAUAAGGAAUGGACCUGUUAACAGUUCAUGGAGAGCUUCUCAGCAAACUAACAUGUACGGUGCAUCAAAUGGCGAUUUUGGCUCCGGGAGGUCUUCGUUUGCGCCAGCACCUAUCGAACCUACGUCCGGGCCAUUUUCAAGAUCAUAUGCGGAGACAAUGUCCACUGCGCAACGAGGGGAUAGGUCUUCUGGCAGUAAGCCAUGGGAGAUGCAGCAGUAUUCACAGCAGAGGCCUGGUUAUGGAUCCAACUCCCAGUUGAGUGAUGAUGGAUCAUACACUGAUGCCCAGGACAGCUAUCCUCCUUCCUAUCACCAGAAUGGAAAGGCCCCUGAUUUUCAAGCAGAUGAUCCUAGGCCUUUGACCUACAACACUGGGGUUCAGGAAAGGCCGCCGCCUCAGCACCGCUGGGUGCCCCCUCAGCCUCCAGGCGUUGUCAUGCCAGAAGCAGCGGCUGCCAUACGUCAACCAAAGACCCUUCCUAAGCAGCCAUCGAGCAAUGUCUCUGAGACAGCUAGUGAGAUGCAGGUGAAUGGUGCUUCAAGUGCAUCGGCUGUUGUCACCGAGGUGCCUGUUAAUGGAGCUCCUGCAAGUGAUGCUGGGCGUAGCGAAAUCGAAGAACAAUCAGAGGUCAUCUAAGUAGAAGUGAGGUCCACCAAGAACCCAGAAGCAAUCUAAAGCUAGAUCCAGGUGAGCUGUUGCCUUUCUUGGGUCUUCCAAGGAUGAGAACGCUGACGUGCAGAUGGAUUGUCAUCGUCGGGUGAAUGUUUUCCGGCGGUGCCGCCCGGGCAGGAGGUGCUUACCAAAAUGAGGAAGAAGCAGCUUCCACAAGUGAGUUAUGCUCCACAGGGCAACUUGCUACAUCCAGAUGAACUCCUGAAUCAUUGGAGCUCUGAUCUUGUCCAACACGGCUAGUAACAUUUUUUUCCUUUCAAGUCAUCACCCGCAUAGUGCAGCACCCCCUUUGCUGGAUGUCAUUACCAUAUCCUGGAAUGUCACUGCGGCACCUAACAUCCAAAAUGCAUACAUGAAAACACUGCUCAGAACAGCACAGUGGGGAAACUGAGUUGCUAAAAAAGGAGUUCAAGAAAUCAACUUGGAAUAGAGCACAUACCAUUUUUAUUUUCCAUCUGGAGGUUGAAGUGUGAUUGGAGCAUGAAUGAGAAGCAGUUAAGAACGGCCGCCUGUUCAAUCGAAAGUAAUCCCAUUGCUGUUUCUGGAAGUUCAAGCAAAGAUUGAGUUUGGGUCACCGGGAAGACAACCAAAACAAAACUGAAUGGCGGACUAGAAAACCAGAUCGAGGCUACUACCUGUACCGUCGACUGAAAUUGGAUCAUCGGGGGGCUCUACCCCAUUGCUCUCCUCCUCUCUUGAAGCUUACCGCUCCUCUCUAGCAGACAUAGGUGUUGGUCAAAAACCGGAUCUAGGAAGAGGAAGCCGACUCCAUGGUUGAGCUCGUGAGGAAGAAAGCGCUCUAGCCCAACAGAUGCGGUACUACCUCGAAGGAGAACCCAGACACAGAAAUGGAUCCCACCAACUUUGCCUCGCUCCGUGCCUGGCGUCUCUCUCCUCCACAUUUUGCAUGCCGAGGCAUUGCGAGGCGGGAACAGGUUGGAAGCCUGGUGCUGGUGGGACCAGCUUCGAUCGAAGAAUCAAGGCGCACCAAUUUUGAAGCAGGAUCAACGGUGGAGAGCUUGCCUGCCCGGGCCGGCACGGCUGGGAAAACCACACUCGUCAUUGUCUGUUCAUGCUAUCCUCAGACCCCUGUCCUGCACGCAUCAUCUAGAUUCAGUUGGGCAUUUCUGUUGUGCAUGCAUCAUCUUAUAGGCUUUUUCAAAGAAAAAAAAGGCAUACCCAUCCCAUUUCAGUGGGAAUUUGCA